CCUACGGGAGGCAGCAGUGAGGAAUAUUGGUCAAUGGCCGAGAGGCUGAACCAGCCAAGUCGCGUGAGGGAAGACGGCCCUACGGGUUGUAAACCUCUUUUGUCGGGGAGCCAAGCGAGUCACGUGUGACUCAUUGAGAGUACCCGAAGAAAAAGCAUCGGCUAACUCCGUGCCAGCAGCCGCGGUAAUACGGAGGAGGCGAGCGUUAUCCGGAUUUAUGGGGUUUAAAGGGUGCGAAGGCGGAGGUGCAAGUCAGCGGUCACAUUGCGGGGCUCAACCCCGUACUGCCGUUGAAACUGCAGCCCUUGAGUGCGCGAGAAGUAUGCGGAAUGCGUGGGGUAGCGGUGAAAUGCAGAGAUAUCACGCAGAACUCCGAUUGCGAAGGCAGCAUACCGGCGCGCAACUGACGCUCAUGCACGAAAGCGUGGGUAUCGAACAGGAUUAGAUACCCUGGUAGUC
rnacentral:rRNA from 1 species